ACUUCCACUCAUCAAUGUCACAAACAUAAGUAUGAAAAAGGAACCUGAAACCAGAAAAUCAAGGAAAACCCUCCACGCUAGGCCUCUCGCUAAAUUACUCAGAAAUUCGUGCGAUAAAACAUACAGAAAAUACCCACAUAAAUUUCCAUUCAACGCGCUGAGCGCGUAAAAAAUUCUUUCGGUUUAUGGAUUCUGGCGCUGGAAAUAAAUACAUGUACUAUUUUACGGUUUAUAUUACGUAUUUAAUAGUGCAGCAAUGAGUCGAGUGGAGGGCAAGGAUUGGUGGGGAAAAUAAAAGUGCAUUAAAUGUGCUUAAGCGAGCGAAAGGUCAUGUGCGUGAUUACUCAUACGCCGUGUGGCCGUCGCGGAGAUCAUGGAACUGAGAGGAGGAUUUCAUAUCAAUGGCAUGACAUAUUAAACGAGCCACCAAAGCGGAUUUGUCCCUAUAUGUGUACACUAUAUAUAUAUGUGCUUCAAAUCUUCAGAUAGCAUGAGUGGUGGGCGUAAGCGGCGGUGGAGGCGUGGCCGAGAACAUCUGUAGCGAUUUCUUGGUCUUCACAAAUCAGAGCGUAAAUAUGCAGCGUAAAUAGCGUAGAGCGUAAAUAUGUAAUGAAGCUGGGCGAGAAAGCGAGACGAGGAGCGAGAAGCGAUGCGUGUUCUGAUAGCGAAAUCUGCUCAGAGGCACUUCAAUGGAUUUUGAUGAUAUGCCUCUGGAGCAGAUUCCUGAAUCAUUUCCAGCAUCUCCCGCCCAUAUCCACUCGAACCAGUCCCCACUGUGCCUUGGACACAUAUGCGGGUAAAGUCCAGCUCUGAAUAGACUCACUAUAUAAUAGGUGGGGGAGUCCAACGAGGAGUUGGAGAUAAAAGGGAGACGGAGGCCAAGUCGACGGCCAUUAGCUGCUUAUCGCGCUUCGUCUUCGGCUGCUGAUUCUUUUAUAUAUAUUCCGGAUUUUUUCUUCUUUAUUUUUCUGUUUGUCUUCCAUUGAGCGGCACUGGAGAAAGGGGCUGGGAGAGAGCGGGAGUCCAGCGACAGCUAUCAAGUGUCUGCCACGGACACGGACGGGAGGUAAGGGUUAAAGCCAUAGACAACGUCGAGUGUGUUUGGCCAUGGCUUGUGACAUGAAAUGUUAUCAGAAAGGAUUAUGACAAGCCCGCUGCCGAGGCGAGAAACAGAGAAACAGCCACCGAUGGAACUGUAUCACUGGCACACUGUCCCGAUGAUGGCGAUGGCGACGAUAUGGCCGACAAGCAAGUGUCAGAGUCGGACAUCGGAGGCCAUAAAAAAAUGUACACGAAAGGAGCAAAGGACCUCUCCAGAAGCUCACUUCAGUCGGUGAAAAGUUUCAUCAACUCCUCGGGCUAGUAAAAAGAUUAUGAUAGCCGGGGAGAGUCAGGAGUCGGGGAUAAGUAUAGCAAUUGUUGGCUAAAUAAGUUGUGGAUUUCUCACUUGAGUUUCUAUUUUGUAUUGGACUUCCAUAUUAAAUCAAAUAAAUGCAGAUGGGCCUCCAUCACCGGAUGAAUCACUUCAUCUUAUCGGCCACUGAAGAAACAACAACCGGAUGAUGACAAAGCCAAGAUCGCUGAAAGAAAACACUCGACUUCUGUGUGUAAUUCCGGUCUGUGGGCUUCUGGUCUUCGGAAUGCACUCGCAAGAAACUGAAACGAUCCCCGCCGUUAAAUGCAAUCUACUUAGAGUCUUAUAACUUCAUAACUUUUAUGGUCGGCAAGUGAGGCAGUUUAUAGUUUAGAGCCAGAUGGAGGCUCCGCCAUGUAAUUAAAACCGAGGCAGUGGCAAUUAACAACAGUUGAGCUGCAAGUAUCAGUCCAGCGACUAGUCUUUCAACUACAGUUAGUGGGUUGUAUGUAAUGGCCUUGGCAGCAAACUUGGCUAGUUGCAACCCGAGUGACAUUCCUUGCUUUCCUUCCACUCUGCUGUCAACCAGAUCUCUGCUGUCCAAAAGCUGUUCAAUAAUGCAAUGAAAACAUUUAAACUUCAGCUAGAAUAAAGUCAAGUUUUAUUUCA